CGGGGGGAGCAAGCGUUGUUCGGAUUUACUGGGCGUAAAGGGCGCGUAGGCGGCCACCGCAAGUCGACUGUGGAAUCUCCGGGCUUAACCCGGAAAGGUCAGCCGAUACUGCGGGGCUAGAGUGCAGAAGGGGCAACUGGAAUUCUCGGUGUAGCGGUGAAAUGCGUAGAUAUCGAGAGGAACACCUGCGGCGAAGGCGGGUUGCUGGGCUGACACUGACGCUGAGGCGCGAAAGCUAGGGGAGCGAACGGGAUUAGAUACCCCGGUAGUCCUAGCCUUAAACGAUGAAUGCUUGGUGUCUGGGGUUUUAUAGUCCCCGGGUGCCGUCGCUAACGCUUUAAGCAUUCCGCCUGGGGAGUACGGUCGCAAGACUG
rnacentral:rRNA from 1 species